CUUAUAGCUAGGAACUUAUAAAUAGCAAGGCAUUUUUAUUCAAAUUGAGAAGAACCCAGAAAAAUGGGGAUCUCCACAGUCAUCCUUGAAAUAUGUCUUUUAUUGGGUCAAGUUCUAUCUACAGCAACAUCAACAGUGAGUGACACCACAGAAACUGCUUUUUGGGAGACACAGACACUCAGCUCUGUUUCUGAAUCAGAUCUUCCCAGAACAAGUGGUAAGUACUUUGAAAACAGCAUCCUGUAUUUGGUUUAAAAUUUAUUUAUCCUUCUAUACAGUUAUUUAUAUCUUAAAGA